UACGUAGGUCCCGAGCGUUAUCCGGAGUUACUGGGCGUAAAGCGUCUGUAGCCGGUUUUGUAAGUCUAUUUUUAAAGACUCUGACUUAAUCAGAGAAAGGGAAUAGAUACUGCAUUUCUAGAGUUAUUUAGGGGUUAGUGGAAUUUCCGGUGGAGCGGUGAAAUGCGUUGAUAUCGGAAGGAAUGCCGAAAGCGAAAGCAGCUAACUAUAAAUUUACUGACGGUCAGAGACGAAAGCUUGGGUAGCAAACGGG
rnacentral:rRNA from 1 species